AUUGAACGCUGGCGGCAUGCUUUACACAUGCAAGUCGAACGGCAGCGCGGGCUUCGGCCUGGCGGCGAGUGGCGAACGGGUGAGUAAUGCAUCGGAACGUGCCCAGUCGUGGGGGAUAGCCCGGCGAAAGCCGGAUUAAUACCGCAUACGCCCUGAGGGUGAAAGCGGGGGACCGAAAGGCCUCGCGCUAUUGGAGCGGGCGCUGUCGGAUUCGCUAGUUGGUGGGGUAAAGGCUUACCAAGGCGACGAUCCGUAGCCGGUCUGAGAGGACGACCAGCCACACUGGGACUGAGACACGGCCCAGACUCCUGCGGGAGGCAGCAGUGGGGAAUUUUGGACAAUGGGGGCAACCCUGAUCCAGCCAUGCCGCGUGCGAGAAGAAGGCCUUCGGGUUGUAAACCGCUUUUGUUCGGGAAGAAAUCCUCUGGGCUAAUACCCCGGGGGGAUGACGGUACCGGAAGAAUAAGCACCGGCUAACUACGUG
rnacentral:rRNA from 1 species